UACGUAGGGGGCGAGCGUUGUCCGGAAUCAUUGGGCGUAAAGAGCGUGUAGGCGGCUUGGCAAGUCUGACGUGAAAGCCCGCGGCUCAACCGCGGAUUGUCGUUGGAAACUGCCUCGCUAGAGUCCGGAAGAGGAGAGCGGAAUUCCUGGUGUAGCGGUGGAAUGCGCAGAUAUCAGGAAGAACACCAGUGGCGAAGGCGGCUCACUGGCCCGGUACUGACGCUGAGGUGCGAAAGCGUGGGGAGCAAACAGG
rnacentral:rRNA from 1 species